UCCUCAGCUAUAAUAUUGUCCGGUUUGGGGUA
rnacentral:piRNA from 1 species